rnacentral:rRNA from 1 species
UACGUAGGGUGCAAGCGUUAAUCGGAAUUACUGGGCGUAAAGCGUGCGCAGGCGGUUAUGUAAGACAGAUGUGAAAUGCCCGGGCUUAACCUGGGAACUGCAUUUGUGACUGCAUGGCUAGAGUUUGGCAGAGGGGGGUGGAAUUCCACGUGUAGCAGUGAAAUGCGUAGAUAUGUGGAGGAACACCGAUGGCGAAGGCAGCCCCCUGGGUCAAGACUGACGCUCAUGCACGAAAGCGUGGGGAGCAAACAGG